UACAGAGGUCUCAAGCGUUGUUCGGAAUCACUGGGCGUAAAGGGCGCGUAGGUGGGCGCUUAAGUCAGGUGUGAAAACUCCGGGCUCAACCUGGAGACUGCACUUGAAACUGGGUGUCUUGAGGGCAGGAGAGGAAAGUGGAAUUCCUAGUGUAGCGGUGAAAUGCGUAGAUAUUAGGAGGAACACCAGUGGCGAAGGCGACUUUCUGGACUGUACCUGACGCUGAGGCGCGAAAGCGUGGGUAGCGAACGGG
rnacentral:rRNA from 1 species